rnacentral:rRNA from 1 species
AUACGGAGGGUGCAAGCGUUAUUCGGAAUUACUGGGCGUAAAGCGCGUGCAGGCGGGUGUACAAGUCUGAUGUGAAAGCCCCGGGCUCAACCUGGGAAGUGCAUUGGAAACUGUACAUCUUGAGUGCUGGAGAGGAAGGGGGAAUUCCCGGUGUAGAGGUGAAAUUCGUAGAGAUCGGGAGGAAUACCAGUGGCGAAAGCGCCCUUCUGGACGGCAACUGACGCUGAGACGCGAAAGCGUGGGGAGC